CCCGCACGCGAAGCAGCCGGCCGGCCCUGCCGGCCCCGGGCAAUGAGGGGCUUAGCACCCGGGCCAGCGGCUGCGGAGGGUGUACUGGGUCCCCCAGCAGUGCCGGCCCACCGGCGCUGCGCUCUAUUUCUCGCCGGGCCUUAGCUGCCUUCCCGCGGGGCAGGGCUCGGGACCUGCAGACCGCCAUGCCUGAGCCUCCCACCCCCUCCGUGGGCUCCUGUGCGGCCCGAGCCUCCCCGAUGAGCGCCGCCCCCUGCUCCACGGAGCCCAGUCCCAUCGACCACCCAAGGGCUGCGGAGUGCGGGCGCACGGCGCGGGACUGGCAGGCAGCUCCACCUGCAGCCCCGGUGAGGUAUCUACUGGGUGAAGCCAGCUGGGCUCCUGAAUUUGAUGGGGACAUGGAGAAGCUUGGUGUCUAACUCAGGCAUUGUAAAUGCACCAAUCAGCGCCCUGUCAAAACAGACCACUCGGCUCUACCAAUCAGCAGGAUGUGGUGGGGCCAGAUAAGAGAAUAACAGCAGGCUGCCCGAGCAGCAGUGACAACCCGCUCCGGUCCCCUUCCGCAGUGUGGAAGCUUUGUUCUUUUGCUCUUUGCAGUAAAUCUUGCCACUGCUCACUCUUUGGGUCCACACUGCCUUUAUGAGCUGUAACACCGCGAAGGUCUGCAGCUUCACUCCUGAAGCCAGCGAGACCACGAGCCCACCGGGAGGAAGGAACAACUCCAGACGCGCCACCUUAAGAGCUAUAACACUCACCGCGAAGGUCUGCAGCUUCACUCCUGAGCCAGCGAGACCACGAACCCACCAGAAGGAAGAAACUCCGAACACAUCUGAACAUCAGAAGGAACAAACUCCGGACACGCCGCCUUUAAGAACUGUAACACUCACCGCGAGGGUCAGCGGCUUCUAUUCUUUAAGUCAGUAAGACCAAGAACCCACCAAGUCCGGACACAAUAUUUUCUAUUAUCUAUGUUUGAUUCUUGUCAUAAACAUCUGAACUGUUAAGGUAAUUCACUAAUGGAUCACAAUCUGCACUUCGAAAAUUACUGGACACUUCUUAUUCACACGUAAUACAUUCUGCCUUAACACAGUGCACUCUAAGAGAAUUAAUGAAAUGCAGAAAAGACUAUAGGUUUGUAAAAUUCACUCAGCAAAGUCAUUCAUUGUGUUGCUUAGGUACAUAAUAUUUCAAAAACUAAGCUUCACUGAGCAUCUGUAUUGACCACUUUGAAGUGAUAGUUUUAUAGCUGGAUCUUCCUACAUCAUGUACUAUCUGAACACAUCACACUAGUUUUGAUCGUUUGGUCUCAUUAACUCCAAUUAUCCAAAUUGGUAUGUAGGGAAAUAUACAAUACGGUGUUGACAGUUCAUAAGUAUUUGACUAUUAAUGUGUUGUCUAUAAAAUACUCAACCUACUCAGGAAACACAAUUCUUCAAAGAAAUAAUAAAAGAAUGAUCCAGCAUGAUCUAGAUUGUGUUACAUUCAAAUAAAGAAAAAUAAUGCAAAACAAUGCAACCUAACCUACCAUUAAAUUUCUAAGUAAUGACCAAAAUCCUUAGCUUUAUACAUGCAUUAUUUAAAAUUAUGAAACCCAGGAGACUUAUUUACAAUUCAUCCUUAAAUAGUGGAAUAAAAAUCAAUAUAACUGUUUUGUCAAUGCAUUUGACUUCCUGAGCAUAUUUUCCAACAGAAGCAUGCUUAUGCAAAUCCAGAAAUGAAAUGUUAAAAAUUCAGAAAUCAAAAUAUUUCUUUAAAUAAACUUGUUGAGAAAUUUUUUACUCAGUAAACAUUUUUAACAUCCACUGAGUUUUCUUAAUUCCACUAUUUUUCUGAAUUGUCAUUUCUUCAUAUAAAAAUAUUUGAAUAAGUAAAACUUUAUGUUAGGAGUAUAUGUAAGUAUGUGUGGCUACCAUUUCAACUAAAACUUAGGGUGGGAACCUAUCUGAGGAUCUUUUUUAAAGCUGGAUACCUUAUAGAACUUGUAAAAUAAAAAUCUUUUUUUCUUUUACAAUCUUUUACAAUUUUUCUUUUACAAUCUUUUAAAAAGGGAUCUAUAUCACUUAAAUCCUCAAAAAAAGGUUAUAUCAUGAGGGAAUAGAAGAAAUACUUUCUGUUGACAUAAACAGUAAUUGAUAAGGUUUUCUUGAAUACUUUUAUAGAAAUGCUGAUGUAUUACACUUAAGAUUACUAGUUAGCUCUCAUUUCCUUUCAACUUUUGCCUCUGGAUAAGCUCAACUAUUCCCAGGAAGAAACAGUGAUCAAGUACAUUUGUCAUGCGAGCAGCUAUAAUAAGGUAAUUCAUCAUAAUCUGUCAGAGUUUUAUUCUAGAAAGACUGCUACAUUUUUUUUCUUACUUAAAAAUCUGCUGUCACUCCUGUUGAAAAUUUGGUAGACAUUUUGGACAUGUUUAAAAGCCCUUCCAAACUGAUAGUUGCAGAUAAUUAAGUUAUUGGCUAUCAAAGAUUCUUUUUCUCUUUUUCUUUUUCUUUUUUUUUAACAAUAUAUAUGACACUAUGAACCCUUCUAGCUAGUUUAAUCUGACCUGUUCACAGAGCAUGAUCCCUCAUUCCCUUUCCUUUUUCCUCCUUAAGAGUAGCCAACGACCAAAGUAAUUCACAAUGACAAAUGAAGCCUUUCUCAAGAGUCUAAUUGAGCAAUUUUGUUUUCCUUUGCAAGACCUGAAAUCUACAGCAUUCUGAACUCCAUUCACUGAAGUGGCAAGAGAUAGUGGUCAGAAGGAAACUAGGUGGAUUAAGGGGUUUCUAGAAAACAAGUAAAUAAACUCUACCUAGGUGUGACAUCUUACAUCUCAGUAAUAUUUCAAUUCAUCUACUCAAUUACUUACUCCGUGUAUCCUUUACUUUAAGCCAUUUUUAAUAAAGUUUCAUUGUGAUGUGUACUUUAUUGAAUCCUAAAGUCUCAGUCACUACUCUCUCAUUCUUUUGUAAUACUUCCUGCAUUUUUUCAGCGUUUAAAUUCAUGCUUUCUUAGAAGAAGAAUUAUAUUAGUCUUUUCUCUAGCCAAUUGUGUGAUAUCCUUUUGUACUACCUUAGAGAUAGACUGUGUUUGGCUUAAGGACAAGAAAGGAGAUAUAAUAAAUGUUUUAAUUGGCUUUUCAAAAAAUUUACAUUAUUCUCAUACAAUGUACAUUUUAUACAUUAACUGAUUAUCAAACCCAAGAGCAUGUUCUCAUUGGUAGCAACCACUGGCAAAGUAUUAAACGAAGAUAUACAUAUAUGUGCAUAUUCAAAUAUAUAUGUGCGUAUAUAUACAUGUAUGUAAUGUUUUAAUGACUGCUAAAUACAAAAGAAUAUGUAAAUACAUAUUGAAGUAUAAAUUAUGAUAUAAAUAUAUUGUUAUUCUCUUCUAGUAAUUUGAAUUUAAGUUGUCUGGUGUCAUAUAUUUUCAAGCUAACUGGUAAUAAUAUUUUUAAAAAUUCAUACAACGUUAGGUCUCUUACAAUUCUUUAUUCUCUCAUUCCAAAAUAUUUAUUGAGUACCUGCUGUGUUGAUAAUACUAUUUCAUCUCAAGGAAGGCUUGGUAAAUUCCUGUGAAAAAUGUUAUUUUUCCUAACUUAACAAAGGAUGGAAGCAUAGGUGAAAAUGGUUUACUCUGCAUCAGGUAGGCAUUUACACAAAAUCUAAGGCUUAAGUGUCAUUCUGCUCAAUCUUUUCUCUAAUAUUUAAGGAGAAGAUACUUAAAACUUUUAAAGUCAUUGACAUUUAAUACCAAUCUUUCAAGUAAAAUAGAUGUUACAUUAUCCUAAUCACCACAUUUUAAUUAUUUUAUUUGCUUUGACCAAAUCAUUAAAGGCUUGAUAUAAAGAUGUGCAAAUAAGUAAAACUGAAUUGAAAUCAUUAUAUGAGUACUUCAGAUUUUUGGUUGGUAAUCUGAAAACAACUGGUGACAUUCGUUUAUAUUUUAAUAAAUUUAAAUGUAAUGGUUUUAAUAAUUUCUGUGGAUAUUUAAUAAUAUCUUUGGCUAUGUUUUCACAUAUAUCCACAGAAAUUGAAUGAGGGAAAUGCCCAUUUUGGCUUUGAUGGUCUAAGAGCUUAAUUGCAAAACUCCCUUUGAAAAUCAAGACCUUGAGAAAUUUCAGUGACUGCAUGGCAAACAUAAUCUCAACAAUAGGAAGUGUUCACAUCAAGUAAAAAGUAGCAGGCUGGGCACGGUGGCUCACACCUGUAAUCCCAGAACUUUGGGAGGCCGAGGCAAGCGGAUCACGAGGUCAGGAGAUCGAGACCAUCCUGGCUAACACGGGGAAACCUCAUCUCCACUAAAAAUACAAAAAAUCAGCCAGGCAUAGUAGCGGGCACCUGUAGUCCUAGCUACUUGGGAGACUGAGGCAGGAGAAUGACGUGAACCCUGGAGAGGGAGCUUGCAGUGAGCUGAGAUCAUGCCACUGCACUCCACCCUGGCCAACAGAGCGACACUCCGUCUCAAAAAAAAAAAAAUUCCACCUAUGAAAAAAUAUAUCAGAAAUGAAGUUUAUUUCAUCAAAACCAAUAAGCCAUCAAUUAUAAGACACACCAUUAUUUUAUGUAUUACUAAGAGAUGAAACUUUACCAAUUAAAGUAUAAUAUAUCAUUUAUAAUCAAACAUUCCAAUUUCGGAGCUGGAAACUGUUGCAAACAUAUGCAUUUUUAAACUGAUUAACUAGAGCAUUUUUACCAUUUUUUUAUAGAAAAUAAACUAUGAUUCCUGAAAAAAUAUAUAUUCUGCUGUUUUACUGCCUAAAAAACCAAAAAGUUUAAAGAAGCGCUGGAUAAAUAAUGCAAUUUUGUUCACCAAACCUUUCACAGAAUGUUAGGAAAAACUGAACUGAAAAGCAUAUAGAGGUAAAAUAGUUUCUUUUGGCAAUACACAAAUAAAUGCUCUCCCUAAUAUUAUUAUUUUGGGACUCUAUUCACAACUGUAAUUACUGAGUAAUAAAUUAAAAGUUGAAUCAAUAGGCCAAGUCUUUCUAUCAUAACAUUUGUAAAACAUAUCAGUAAUUGUAGAACUAAGCAGCACUCUACUCAUUCUUUCAAUAUUUUGAAAACUUGAAAUCUAUCUGGUUUUCUGAAAAAUCUUAUCAGUUUUCCACAUAAGGUUUAAUUCAUGUGAUGUCUAUUUUGGAAACCCAGGGAAGGAAUUCUUAGACAUCAGGAAAAGCAGCCUAAUUUUGCUCCUUGCUAGGAAAAGCUGUAAAAUAAUUAAAUCUUAAGACAGCCUAAGGUUGCUCCAUCAAUAAUGUCCCCGCUACCAUAACAUUAGGAAAGAAAAUAGAAACACCUUACUUUCUUUUCCCAACUGUAUCUUAAAAAGGUACAUGAAUCCAAAUCAAAGGAACGCAUUCAUCUGUAUAAGAAGUAU
rnacentral:lncRNA from 1 species